CGUUCGCGUCGCGCGAUGUGCGAAGUAAUUUUAAACGUGUGAUUAGUUUUGCGCGCGGGGUAGAAAAAGAUGUGGCCCAUGCUUUGUGUAUUACUCGUGCCCCACUUCAAAGCAAAGCGUUCGUACGCACUGGAAGAUGGAUCCACGAAGGCUGAAACGAGAAGUUGCAACGUGCCCGGUCGGUAGUACUGGCAUGAUGGAAACUUUCAGCGAGUGUUCCCGCCUGAAAGCCGAGUUUGGUUUCAAGCCACCCUGGACAACUGCUGUAUGAGGCGCCGUUUCUCGGGAGGACCAGUGGGAAGGCGCCAAGUCAUGCAGAUGGUAGCAGCAAUUUCACAAUGCCCAGCCUUGGCGCGCCCCAUCAAGAGCAAGCCACUUGCGUUCGCCUUCAGACAGAUGGUUAAUGUCUUCUUGAAAGCGGUUGAGAAGACAACAUUGAUGCAAGAUUCCAGCAAUGCCAUGCGCUGCAUUUAUUGGUCAAGAUGCUCAGAGAAUGGAGUCCCUGCACCUCGUGGUUAACCGUGAACAUUUCUUUUUCUUUUGGAAAGCUAAAGGCCAUUUGCUGCAUCACUUGCAUUUUUGCAGCUCAGAUGUGUACUAUAUUUUUCUCAUUUUGAAUCAAUAUUGGCUGUUCAGUAUAAAAAAUGACUUACAGCGUGAAGGACAAGGACUGCGAGAGACACACUCCACUGACUUUCAACAAUAUUUUAUUGCGUUGCCACAUCGUGUGUGUAUACACAGAGGGGUCAUGCGCAGAAAAUGAAAGCCAGUCACAAGGGGUGUUCUAACAGCAAGUCAUUGUAAAAAGAACAUGGUCACUUGAAAAA